UACGUAGGUGGCAAGCGUUGUCCGGAAUUAUUGGGCGUAAAGGGCACGCAGGCGGUCCUAUAAGUCUGAUGUGAAAUCUCGCGGCUUAACCGCGAGCGGUCAUUGGAAACUGUAGGACUUGAGUACAGAAGAGGAGAGUGGAAUUCCACGUGUAGCGGUGAAAUGCGUAGAGAUGUGGAGGAACACCAGUGGCGAAGGCGGCUCUCUGGUCUGUGACUGACGCUGAGGUGCGAAAGCGUGGGUAGCAAACAGG
rnacentral:rRNA from 1 species